UAUCAUUACCCGAUAUAUCGGGCAUCGAUUUUUAUGUCCCAAAGUAAUUUCCUCAAAAUUUUGCCGAAAAUCAACAGAGCAAGGCCAAAGCCAUUGACAUCUUUUCAAGCACAUCCCCAUCAUCAUCAUCAUCAUUGGGUGGUUGAAAAGCGAAAACAUUUCCACAACAGAAACUUGGGAAUAAGUGAGAACUGGGCAAACUAGUGAUAGAAAAAAUAGUUUGCCAAAAGAGAGAGAGCUUCGAUUUUGCAGUACAAACGUGUGGAAGAAUAAAGUACAAGGAUGGAACCUUUACGCUUGACAGCCAUGAAGAAAUGAAUGUGCCCAGUGGAACCAGCCGCAGGAGGAGGAGCAGCGAGGCUUAGCCCCACUUUGUGUCACAUUAUGGAGACAUCAAGCACACAGACGGGACUCGCUUUUCCUUCCACUUGUGUCCAUGCCAUGGGUUCUCUGUGGCUGUGUGUGUCUGGAAAUUCAGGAAAUUUGCCUAUUCAACUAAAGCAAAAGAUAGAGAUGAGCGGCAGACAGAUGAGAUUUGACGUUUAUAAGGCUGCUUACUCCUGGAAUU